rnacentral:rRNA from 1 species
AGAGCGAACGCUGGCGGCAGGCCUAAUACAUGCAAGUCGAGCGCCCCUUCGGGGGAGCGGCGGACGGGUGAGUAACGCGUGGGAACGUGCCCUUUGGUACGGAACAACUGAGGGAAACUUCAGCUAAUACCGUAUGUGCCCUUCGGGGGAAAGAUUUAUCGCCAUUGGAGCGGCCCGCGUUGGAUUAGGUAGUUGGUGAGGUAAAGGCUCACCAAGCCUACGAUCCAUAGCUGGUCUGAGAGGAUGAUCAGCCACACUGGGACUGAGACACGGCCCAGACUCCUACGGGAGGCAGCAGUGGGGAAUAUUGGACAAUGGGCGCAAGCCUGAUCCAGCCAUGCCGCGUGAGUGAUGAAGGCCUUAGGGUUGUAAAGCUCUUUCAGUGGGGAAGAUAAUGACGGUACCACAGAAGAAGCCCGGCUAACUUCGUGCCAGCAGCCGC